rnacentral:lncRNA from 1 species
GGUGAGAGCUAAGCACAACGACUUCGCCGCCACCGGCCGCUACGGGGACCACACCGGGCUCAGCUGCUUCAGCCCCGUCCUGAACAUCAUGAGACACCCGCUGUGGGGCAGGAACCAGGUGCCAGUGUGGGGGGGGUGGCCCCUGACCGGGAUCAGGCCACGCGGGACCAUGGCCAACCAGCUGGACAUGGCAGUGGGGACACGGGGCUGGGGGUCUCGGUGAUGACCCGCCUGCACCUCGGCCAGGAGACCUACGGGGAGGACCCGUUCCUGAGCGGGGAGCUGGGCCGCAGCUUCGUGCAGGGGCUGCAGGGCCAGCACCCCCGCUACAUCAAGGCCAGCGCCGGCUGCAAACACUUCAGCGUGCACGGGGGCCCUGAGAACAUCCCCGAAUCCAGGCUCAGCUUCGACGCCCAGGCGAGUGUGGCGGGUCCAGGGGUGGCAGGAGGGCGGGUGACACUCCGGGCACUCCUGACCCUGCUCUGCUGCGGCGCUUGCAGGUGCUGGAGCGGGACUGGCGCAUGACCUUCCUGCCCCAGUUCCAGGCGUGUGUCCGUGCUGGUUCCUUCAGCUUCAUGUGCAGCUACAACAGGUUGGGAGCAUGGUGGGGGCCACAUGGGCUGGGCUGCCCACGGCAUGGCCGGUGCCUGGCUCUUCCAUCCCCUCUCUGACAGGAUCAAUGGCGUUCCCGCCUGUGCCAACAAGAAGCUGCUGACGGACAUCCUGCGUGGCGAGUGGGGCUUCGAGGGGUACGUGGUGAGCGAUGAGGGGGCCCUGGAGCUCAUCAUGCUGGGGCACCACUACACACACACCUUCCUGGAGACAGCAGUCGCCUCAGUCAACGCCGGCUGCAACCUGGAGCUCUCCUAUGGCAUGAGGAACAACAUCUUCAUGCACAUCCCUCAGGCUCUGGCCAUGGGCAACAUCACGCUGCAGGUGAGCCAAGGGGAGCAGGGCAAGGGGGGCAGGGAGCCCGGGCUGUCCCUGCCAAGCACAACCGAGGUUUUGGGGUUGGGGUCUCUGCAGAUGCUGCGUGACCGAGUCCGGCCCCUCUUCUACACGCGGAUGCGGCUGGGGGAGUUCGACCCCCCAGAGAUGAACCCCUACAGUGCCCUGGACCUGAGCGUGGUGCAGAGCCCUGAGCACCGCAACCUCUCGCUGGAAGCUGCUGUCAAGAGCUUUGUGCUGCUGAAGAACAUUCGGGGGACUCUGCCCCUGCGGGCCCAGGACCUGCCCGGCCAGCGCCUCGCGGUGAGCCCCUGCACAGGGCAGGCAGGGGGACACGGUGACCCAGGGGCUGCUGCUGGCUCUGUACCCCGCUCACACAGGUGGCACAGGGCUACCAGUGCCCACCAUCACCCCUCUGCCCUCCGCAGGUGGUGGGUCCCUUCGCUGACAACCCCAGGGUGCUGUUCGGGGACUACGCGCCGGUGCCAGAGCCUCAGUACAUCCACACUCCCCGGUGAGACAGCGCGGUGCCACCUCGUGUUCCCCUGUCCUGGGCAC